GCACCAUCCUGCCCAUUGGAAGCCCUUAAAGUCCUUGCAGAAGAGCUCCCAGGUGAAACGGCAGGAAACCUCUACAGCCAUCUCAGGGGAAGACCUCUGCUUCCAGGAACGAAGUCGCACAUUCACAGCUGCUUCCUGUUUUCAAACACCUUGCCCACCUUCUCACACCAAGCACGCAUUCUGCAAAAUGUGAGCCCACAGGAAGCUGCCUGCAAAUUCAGGGAGAUUUUCUGACUCUUAAAGAGGGCUUGAACAUACUUUCACAGAAAUGCCAGCAAACGCUGUAGUCAUUUGGGGAAGAACAGGUCUGGAAGGAAAAUACACGGCGGACCAGCACCGAGAGGGGGUGGCCAAGCUCAAGUGGAGAGAAAAGCAGACUGAACCCAGGAGUGCUGGUACCAAGAGGACAGUCAGAUCCCAGCAAGUGACACCUAUUGGCUGUUGCUCCCUGCUCCUGGUACUAUGUAGCCGAAGCGAGAAGAUAAGAGGUGGCCCAAUCUUCUGGGAGCCAAGACCACACCUGCCCUGCCGGCCAUUCCCCUGCCCAGCCUUACAGUGGAGAGGCAUGUCAAAUAGAGAGAUCCCAGUGAAGAGGGGGAUGCUGCCUUCCUGCUCCUGCCUGGCUUCACGGGCUCCUUCAGCUGCUCUGUUUUGAGUUUGGAAAGGCUUGGCGUCCCUCGGUGUGGGGGUGUUCACUUCUUCAGAAUGAGGGCCAGCCUCCACUCUCGGUACUGCAGCGUGGAAACUGGCACAUCCUACUCUGACAUUUCUCUCCUGCCUCCUUAGCCCCGGUUGCUAGAUUGUGGUUUCCAGGUUGUUUUGCUUUUUCUCUCUUUCUAAUUGGUUAUGCUCUUCAUGCCAAGUAUCUUCAGUCAUAUUAACUACAGAUCCAAUAUAUUUUAAGUAACAGGCAAAUCUGGCAUCGGCCUCCCAUGAGGACUGGGCAGCCGGGUUUGCGAAUGCUCCACCUUCCUGCUUCGCCUCAUGCAAGGCCUCUUACCGACACUCCUGGGGGGUGGAUUUCCAUGCAAUUUCUCCACCUCAAUGGCUCCAGUUCCCUGAUCUCAGAGGUUCAAUCCACUGCCUCCUGCUUACUCCUGAGGGAAAGUCUGCCUUCCCAGACUCAUCUUUUCUGACCCUUGUAGAAACGAACAGUAGGGAUCCCAGGAGCGCCUGACAUAUCAGGCUUUGAAGCUUCGACUCUGGCCAUGUCCCCCUGGCAAUUACCUCUACCUGCGGCCCUGAGCACUUUGUCUGCCCAUUGAAGAUGCGAGAGAAAUUGACAUUUUGGAAAUGUUAGAUGCUCCACGUCAAUGUUAAUAAAAAAACAAAACAAAUGCUUUUUUGUGUCUGUG
ensembl:lncRNA